GUCGGAAUUGCUAGUAAUGGCAGGUCAGCAUACUGCCGUGAAUACGUUCCCGGGCCUUGUACACACCGCCCGUCACACCAUGAGAGUUGGGAAUACCCGAAGCCUGUGAGCCAACAAACGAGGCAGCAGUCGAAGGUAGAGCCAAUGAUUGGGGUGAAGUCGUAACAAGGUACC
rnacentral:rRNA from 1 species